AGGCGUCACCGGGGGUGCCCCACCGGGCUGAGAGACACCCUUGGAACCUGAACCGGGUAAUGCCGGCGUAGGGAAGGUGACGGGCCAAGGCC
rnacentral:ncRNA from 2 species